rnacentral:lncRNA from 1 species
AAAGAAAAUAUUUUUGUACAGCUGUACAAUGUGUUUGCAUUUUAAGCUAAGUGUAAUUACGAAUCAUUUUUGUAAUUAAAAAGUUUGACAUUACAGUAAGCAAAGGUUAAUCAUUAUUGAAGGAAGAAAAAGUAUUUCUUAUAAAUUUAGUGUAGCAUGAGUGUCUAGUGUUUAUAAGGGGGUGCACAAUAGCAUCCCAGGCCUACACAUCCACUCGCCAUUCACUCAGAGACUCACCCCAGCAACUUCCAGUCCUGCUAGCUCCAUUCGUGUGCCUGCAGUGUUCAGUAGUGUCCCCUGCUGGGCAGGUGUGUAUCCCGGGAGCAACAGGCUGUACCAUGUGGCCCGGGUGUGGAGGAGG